rnacentral:lncRNA from 1 species
UUUAUUGACUGUGUAGGUCUAUGCUUAUAAUGUCAAUACUAAUUAAUCAGACUGCACCUCACGACGCCACCAAAGAGCUUUUAGUUAUGACAGUAAACAUCGCUAUAGAGAUAUAUAUACUUCCACAGAACAAGGCUCCUCCUUUCAGUAACUUGGCCCAUUUAACUUUGGACCCGACCUACAUAAAUACUGGAUACGUAGAGAACUGCUUUCAGAUGUGGAUUAAUGCAGUAAUAUGCUAUACACUCAGAAGAAAAAUCAAGAAUGGUGUCUCCUCAUCUUUCCAGCACAUCUCUGCUGUUUUAGGCAGCGCAGCACAGAGGGUGACGGAAGGAAGAUGAACGGGAGGCUGCAGGUUGCGCUGCCCUGCGACGCUGAAGCCGAUGGGGUCAGCACUCACUGCUUACUGUAUCUGGCUGUGAGACACCUCCACUGGUUUCUCUUUCUCUGCACCCUGGCUGGACUCUGGACUGCCUCUAGUGCCUGACAUGUGUGUUUCAUCUCUCCACACGUCUGUUUACAUCUCCACCACCCAGAGUCUCACAAAGAACCAAGACCUCUGUGUGCGGCCACGCACUCACAUAUACAGUAUGCUGUUAGCUCCUAGGCCGAUCAUGCGCACUGUAUUUAUCACUAAGCAAAGUUUUGCACACAUAUUUGGGAAAUGAAUUGUUUCUAAGUGAGUACAGGAUCACAGAGCACACAGUAGAGUACUGUAGAUCAGAAGACGCUGCACUCGUUCAAGCAGCAAAGCAGUAUCAGACUUUACUCACUAUGGUAACACAAGAAUAGGGUGAAGAAAGUCACAAAAGAGAGGAUUUCAAGGUUCCACUUUGUUUUGGGUAACCUGAGACCUGGUCCAGGACAAGUCAUAUCAAAUCCCACUUCUGCUCAACUGCUGCUUUUUCUAUGAUUUUGAAUUCUUCUAUGAAGUUCUAAUGCAUCUUCCCAUGAUUUUCUGACUCUUUCAUUCAUUCAUUCAUUUGUCAUCCUUCCACACAGGUUAUAUUAGGUCACGUAGUCGAGCAGAGUUAAUAAAGGUGCUUUUAUACACA